GAAAAUGGUAUCACGCCGGGAGUCAUUUAACAACGGCGAUAGUUGGGCCGACGAUCCUAACACUUCCCUACGCAUUCCGUGGGAUGGGGUGGGUAUUGGGUCUGGUUUCAUUGACUGUCAUCACGGCGGUGACGUUUUAUGCCUAUCUACUCAUGUCUAAGGUUCUCGAUCACUGUGAAAGAAAUGGAAAAAGGCACAUUCGUUUCCGUGAACUAGCCGCCGAUAUUCUUGGUAUAUUCUAUGAAUAGUACAUACUAUUAAGUUUUUAAAUAAGGUUGUAAUGGUGUGUGUCCGGCUAUCGUUAAACUCACACACAAAACUCUCCCAUUUGACGGACUUCUGUGUGCUUGUGCAAAAGCUCCAAGUGGGUAUUCUCUAUUGAUUUUUCUUCCCCUCCCUUGACCUCCCUUUAUACCUUUUCGUCGGGCCUUCCCUCGCUCUUAGACCACUUCGGCUUGUUGCAUUAUGUGGUUCAUGUCCGAUUAGUGGACCAUGGUACUAACAGGUUGUAAUUAGGACUGAGUCGGACUCGGAUUCAAUCAAUUUAUAAGACCCGGUCUUUAACCAUCUGGGUCCGGAUUCUAUUCUUAAUUGACCUAGACCGGGUUCUAAAGUGUCGGCCUAGUUCAAUCAUCUAAAUUUUAGAACCUGAUGGUGUAUAGUAUAGUCGAUGGACUUACACAAUCGGAUUAAGGUUUUAUAAUCUUUUUUUAUUGUAGUACAGGUGUCAAGUGUAACAUGUUCUCCCUCUUUCUAAAAUGUUGGUAUUUAUAGACCUUUUUCUACCCCUCGGGUCAGAUUGGGCCGAACGAACCCGAGAAAGUUUCAGAGUUGCUUUAACGGACCAACGGUAUCAUCAGUACUCCCCUGACGGACCUGGUAUCAUCAGAAUCUAAAAUUUAAAUUAAUGGGUCUGAAAUUAAAAUACAUACAUUUUAUAUAUUUAGAAUAAAUACCAAUAAAUAUUAAAUAUAAGCUAGAAAUAAAUUUUGAAGUAUUUGUAAGUAUUAAAUUUUUUAACUAUUAAUAGACUCUUAAUUUUUAAACUUUAAUUUGUUAUCUUAGAUUUUAUCAUUUUAUCUUAAUUUUAAAUUGUCAUCUUCUUUUUAUAAUUAAUUUUUUUCCCUCUAUUUCCUGUUGGCUGCUUGAUAGUUUUAGUUAUUAUUACUAAAAUCACAUAAUAUAUCAUUGGCUAAAUCGUAGUGAAAAUUUAAUAAAAAUUACGUACACAAUAAGAUUCGAAUUCUGAACCUUCAGAAACCUUAAUAGUUACUUGAUGGUACUCAAGCUCAUAUGACUAGCUAGGCUAGGGACCCAUCAGGCACAGAGGAGGCCUUCCCGAGGCCGAGGGGAGUACUCCUAAGAACAUGGAAGGACUUUUGCCACUUUGUGAGAACUAAAGAAAAAGAAGAGAAAGAGGGUGAGGUGGUUGGUGGUUUAGAGCGAUUCUGCUACAGUGCUCAGGUAUACUAUAUCGUCAUAACUGUAACCAGUUGAGUUAAUCUUCAUUGGUUGUAGUUGUUACAAGGUUUGGGUAGGGUUCAGGUUUAACAUGGUAUCAUCAGAAUCUAAAAUUUAAAUUAAUGGGUCUGAAAUUAAAAUACAUACAUUUUAUAUAUUUAGAAUAAAUACCAAUAAAUAUUAAAUAUAAGCUAGAAAUAAAUUUUGAAGUAUUUGUAAGUAUUAAUUUUUUUAACUAUUAAUAGACUCUUAAUUUUUAAACUUUAAUUUGUUAUCUUAGAUUUUAUCAUUUUAUCUUAAUUUUAAAUUGUCAUCUUCUUUUUAUAAUUAAUUUUUUUCCCUCUAUUUCCUGUUGGCUGCUUGAUAGUUUUAGUUAUUAUUACUAAAAUCACAUAAUAUAUCAUUGGCUAAAUCGUAGUGAAAAUUUAAUAAAAAUUACGUACACAAUAAGAUUCGAAUUCUGAACCUUCAGAAACCUUAAUAGUUACUUGAUGGUACUCAAGCUCAUAGGACUAGCUAGGCUAGGGACCCAUCAGGCACAGAGGAGGCCUUCCCGAGGCCGAGGGGAGUACUCCUAAGAACAUGGAAGGACUUUUGCCACUUUGUGAGAACUAAAGAAAAAGAAGAGAAAGAGGGUGAGGUGGUUGGUGGUUUAGAGCGAUUCUGCUACAGUGCUCAAGUAUACUAUAUCGUCAUAACUGUAACCAGUUGAGUUAAUCUUCAUUGGUUGUAGUUGUUACAAGGUUUGGGUAGGGUUCAGGUUUAACAUGGUAUUAGUUUUGUAUUUGAGUGUGGUAAGAAUAAAUCAUUUCUCAUCAUGCCAAGAAAAAUAUAUCUAUUAAGCAAUAUGUCUAUCAGGUGUUUCAUCUCAUUCAUUGUUGAGAAACUGUAGGAUC
rnacentral:lncRNA from 1 species